AGAGUUUGAUCAUGGCUCAGAUUGAACGCUGGCGGCAGGCUUAACACAUGCAAGUCGAACGGUAACAGGGAGGAGCUUGCUUCUUUGCUGACGAGUGGCGGACGGGUGAGUAAUACUUGGGAAUCUGGCUUAUGGAGGGGGAUAACUACGGGAAACUGUAGCUAAUACCGCGUAAUAUCUUCGGAUUAAAGGGUGGGACUUUCGGGCCACCUGCCAUAAGAUGAGCCCAAGUGGGAUUAGGUAGUUGGUGGGGUAAAGGCCUACCAAGCCGACGAUCUCUAGCUGGUCUGAGAGGAUGACCAGCCACACUGGAACUGAGACACGGUCCAGACUCCUACGGGAGGCAGCAGUGGGGAAUAUUGCACAAUGGGGGGAACCCUGAUGCAGCCAUGCCGCGUGAAUGAAGAAGGCCUUCGGGUUGUAAAGUUCUUUCGGUGAUGAGGAAGGUGUUUGUUUUAAUAGAGCAAGCAAUUGACGUUAGUCACAGAAGAAGCACCGGCUAACUCCGUGCCAGCAGCCGCGGUAAUACGGAGGGUGCGAGCGUUAAUCGGAAUGACUGGGCGUAAAGGGCACGCAGGCGGUGACUUAAGUGAGAUGUGAAAGCCCCGAGCUUAACUUGGGAAUUGCAUUUCAUACUGGGUCGCUAGAGUAUUUUAGGGAGGGGUAGAAUUCCACGUGUAGCGGUGAAAUGCGUAGAGAUGUGGAGGAAUACCGAAGGCGAAGGCAGCCCCUUGGGAAUAUACUGACGCUCAUGUGCGAAAGCGUGGGGAGCAAACAGGAUUAGAUACCCUGGUAGUCCACGCCGUAAACGCUGUCGAUUUGGGGAUUGGGCUUAGAGCUUGGUGCCCGUAGCUAACGUGAUAAA
rnacentral:rRNA from 1 species